UGCAAGUCGAACGAUGAACCACUUCGGUGGGGAUUAGUGGCGAACGGGUGAGUAACACGUGGGCAAUCUGCCCUUCACUCUGGGACAAGCCCUGGAAACGGGGUCUAAUACCGGAUGAUACUUCUGCUCGCAUGGGUGGAGGUUGAAAGCUCCGGCGGUGAAGGAUGAGCCCGCGGCCUAUCAGCUUGUUGGUGAGGUAGUGGCUCACCAAGGCGACGACGGGUAGCCGGCCUGAGAGGGCGACCGGCCACACUGGGACUGAGACACGGCCCAGACUCCUACGGGAGGCAGCAGUGGGGAAUAUUGCACAAUGGGCGAAAGCCUGAUGCAGCGACGCCGCGUGAGGGAUGACGGCCUUCGGGUUGUAAACCUCUUUCAGCAGGGAAGAAGCGAAAGUGACGGUACCUGCAGAAGAAGCGCCGGCUAACUACGUGCCAGCAGCCGCGGUAAUACGUAGGGCGCAAGCGUUGUCCGGAAUUAUUGGGCGUAAAGAGCUCGUAGGCGGUCUGUCGCGUCGGAUGUGAAAGCCCGGGGCUUAACCCCGGGUCUGCAUUCGAUACGGGCAGACUAGAGUGUGGUAGGGGAGAUCGGAAUUCCUGGUGUAGCGGUGAAAUGCGCAGAUAUCAGGAGGAACACCGGUGGCGAAGGCGGAUCUCUGGGCCAUUACUGACGCUGA
rnacentral:rRNA from 1 species